CAUCGAUAUCGUUUGGGGGAACCGAUGUUCUCAUCGCGAGCGAGCUUCGAACCUAGCUGCUCGACAUAAAAUGCAAAAAGGGGGCAAGGCUUGGGCGUGUCAGUUUACCGCCAGGAUAGAUGCCACGGUAGAGGGUUCUAAGCGAAAAUUCAACGUUGACCCUAUAAAUUCGAAAGUCAAGGCUCUACACUUCUUGCAUUCGUACAAAGUCGCACGUAGCUCGAUUAAUCAAGUAACGUUCACUAUGUUUUCCCACCUAGCAAGGGAUCGUUACAAUUACAUGGUGUGUUCUUGUUUUUCUAUUCAGAGCUCGUUUCCUAAUGCCCGCAAUUUCGCUCGCGGAACAUAGCAUCUCGGCGGGUAAAAACGAAAAGGACGCACGUCUCGUUCGUUGAGACGUUUGGUAUCAGCUGUGGCCCCGCUACGGUGCUGCUGACGCCAGCGCGAGCAAAGUGCAGAGCAACCACACACAAAAAAAAAUAACGGUAAAACGAAAUGUAAGCGAAGAAUUCAGACACGCCAAACCCUUGGUUCAAGACGCCAAAUUCGAAGCGUCGGUCGUAUUUACAACGUCUGCGUUGGCUUCGUGGCAUGCGCGAGCCAGCACAAGCGGCAAAAGAAAGGAAACUAAAAACAAAAAGCGAACGUUCUCCGCCCUUUCCCUUUAUUAUGCCGCCCUGUCGGAGCGCCCAAUAUAUCCAGCGCGCCGCCAUUGGUCGGCGAGACCUCCGUAGCAGUGACGUAACCAAGGUUAUAAGUACGACGUCAUCCUGGCAAGGGACGUCAGUUGAGCGUUUGGUUCUGGCUUGGGCAUGUCGCAGCAGCGCUCCUCUUCACGUUUUACGUUUCUCGUGCGUUUUCUGUCAACGGACUGCUUCAAAGACAAUUCACGGUGGCAGGAAGGCUGAUCGACGGCGAGGAAGUGCCGCGUGCUUUGGGAUCGAACCACCACUACGUUGAAGGGUGACUGCAUCACGAACGAGGGCCGCAUCUGCGAGUUUGUCGUCUGCCGAAGCAGCGAAGGACGGGGGAUUGUGAUCGGCCCGGCCUACUCUUCGAGUCACACCAAGGUGCGGGGAGAGAGAGAGUGUUCGAGCCGUGGGGGCCCGAGCUGUGGUGCUGGCGGACCCCAGGUUCCCUCCACCCAACCCCCUCCCUCCCAGAGGCAGCGCAACGCCGGCCUGCUGAGCCUCAUUCUCGACUACUCUCCGUGGGGGCCGGAGGAGGCAGCUCGCACAACCACGCGAUGGUCGCAUUCCAUCCUGCCACGCAUGGCCUGCCACCAGAAAGGGAAGGGGGCUCGCAGCACUCUGGGGGGGCAACUGCAGCGCCGGCCAAAACGACGCGCCAAGCGAGGCCUUAUGGGCAAGGGUGCCGGGUAAUAUACCUCAUCACACGCGGAAAAGAAAUGAGAAGAGCACUAGUUAUAUUAACUUUUCCAAGUCGCUCGUUUUCGAGUGAAAGCCAAGCGAGAAAGGUUCACAGGAGGAUGGAGACGCGAUAGUGGUCGGACAAAAGCUAUCGCUGGAGCAGAGAGAGCAUCGUUUCGACAAGCCGCGACGAAGUCGCGUAAUAUUUGCUCCAACGACAUUCUCUUGUUGUACCGCUGUUUAUUAAUAUCCGGGUGGUCCGUUACAAUACAAUGUCACGCACGUCCAACUCGGGCCACGCUGCUCGCGUAACAGGCGCCCAUUUGAAAAUUGCAGUAAAUUCAAAAGCGCGUUGCCGUGGUUGCGUCGCUGUAAACGUGUAAAAUAAAUUACGGGGGGUUUUACGUGCCAAAACCACCAUCUGAUUAUGAGGCACGCCGCAGUGGGUGACUCCGGACUAAUUUCGGCCACCUGGGGUUUUUUUAACGUGCACCUAAAUCUAAGUACUCUGGCGUUUUCAACGCAUCGAAGCGUGGCCGGGAUUCGAUCCCGCGACCUGGUGCUUAGCAGCCCAAAACCAUGACAGCUAAGCAACCACGGCGGGUCACUGAAAAAAAAAAAUAAAAAAAAGAAAGAUAA